ensembl:lincRNA
GCGAGCUGGCCAGACACUCCGUCUUUCCCACAACAGGUGCAUUCAUCCAUCCGCCGACGGUUGGGGAGGUCUUGCUAGCUGGUGGGCUUGGCUCUUUACCCGUUGUCCCCGAGUAGCCCUCAAGCCUGGAUGUAGGUGAGCGUGAGGAUGCUACUAGUGGGUAGAAGGAUGACAGCAGGGACGGGGACGACCCCCCUCCCAUCACUUCCUAAGGUGAUGCACUUGCUCCUACCCCCCAAGCGGCCUCAGUCCCGGCAGCCCCCUCCCCCCGGCCUGGCCUGCCAGCUCAGGGUGAGCCCGGUCGGAUUGUCACUCGACGCCCACUAGUGGCUGAGGAGGCUCCAGUGCGCAGGCUCCGGGCACCGGAUAAAAGCGGAGCUGGCGAGUCCGGCGCCGUCUCGAUGGAGGAGCGAGAAACGCAAGAGGUCGGGGGGAGAAGCCGCAGAAAAAAUUGCAGCCAUCGUCAGCGCCGCCUCCCUGCCACCGUGUAUGGGGUAAAAGCUGCCGUUGCCGCUGCCGGUGCAGUCGCUGCCGCCGCCUCCUAUACUUCUUAGCACCGGGGAAGGAUUCCCCGCCGCGGGACAGUGUGCUGGGCGGGGAGCGGGAGUUCGUUUGUGUGGCGGUGAUUAAACGAGGGAGGGACAGAGCUGGUUUCUCGAACCGAAAAGGGGAGGCCAAGGAAUAAAACAGGGUUCCCCCACUAAAAUCACACAGCGAUUACGGAUCUGGCUUUGGGGGCCUUUCCCCGGAAUGGCGGUUUCCGUCUUCUUGGCCCGCAGCACGACCUUGGGUGCUCCGUAAGAGGAGUGGGGAGAGGCAGAGGCGGUGUCGGCAGCCAAUCGGCGUCUGGUGAUUUCUGUCGGGCGCGUAGGGAUUGGCUGACGAUGACCUCAUGCUGCAGCAGCGGGUGGGGCCAGAGUCGUCGGGGGUGGCUGUUGCAAAGGCAGAGAGUGAGAAGUGAUGACGGUGAUCGUUGUCGCCGCGUCUUCUGUGGAACCCAAGCAGUGCCGAAGGAAGUCGCAAGGCUCUUCCCCGACCUUUUGCUCCUCUCCCUGCGCGAGGUGAGGGCCCUGGCUCGGCCUCUGCGAGACUUUGGGGCGCUGGUGCGGCCGUGGAGGCGCAAUUUCUCCUGUGACUUUUGUAACUGCGUCAGGGCAAGAUGGCGCUGGGUCUCCUUGGGGCGCGGGGGGAGAGGCACGUCCACCGCCGCCGCAGCGCAUGUGACCGGCUGCAUUCCUGUGGGGUUUGGCGGGGACCCAGGCAGGGCGGGGGAGGGGACCGGGUUUGGGCGGAGGAGAUGGUGGUGCGGUCGGCGUUGGCUGCCCGAAGAGGAAGAGAUGACUGUUUGAAAGCUUUUCCCCUCCCCCACUCCCCGCAGCAGAACAGCUGCGGGGGGGGGGGGGGAGCCCCUGAAAGGACACUCCUUUCGGGGUGUGCCAGCCACUGGUGGAGGAGAAGGUUUGACGCCUUCUUAUCUGCCUUUCUCCUUGCAAAGUAUGCUUACGUAAGGUGGCAGUUCCCUCCUGUAAGCCAACUUGGAGGCCCUGAGUGUCACUGGUAUGGGUAACAAGGACAGGUUAGGCUCUGAAGGCACCACGGCUAGGAGUGUUGAUUAUUUCAGACAAAACAUAAAGUUUGGGGGGUCUGAAUAGAAGAUUACAGCAUUCUCAGAGUUUGAAAGCAAGUGAAUAACACCCAGGAACACUUAGGUUUUCUAGGCAGACAGCGAUUGAGGACUGCAUCACAGUCUGAACGGAAGGGCCCUGUCAAACCUUCUCCUUAGAUUCUUUGUGUUCAUUACCCUCCCUGUCUGUACAUCCCGUGAGAGAGUUUAAGUAAUCUUACUGGUGAGGGUUGCCUUUUCAAAUAUAAGUAUUCUUAGUAAUUUUAGUAUUUUGUUCUGUAUGAAACUGAAAGGUCAUUUUCUAUACUUCACGUUGCAUUUUGUCGUCCUUUUAAAAAUAAAAGAUGGAAUUACAAAUGC